AGGAUGAACGCUGGCGGCGUGCUUAAUACAUGCAAGUCGAGCGGUAAGGCCUCUUCGGAGGUACACGAGCGGCGGACGGCUGAGUAACGCGUAGGAACCUACCCCGAAGUGAGGGAUAAGCACCAGAAAUGGUGUCUAAUACCGCAUGUGAUCUUAGGAUUAAAGCUUCGGCGCUUUGGGAAGGGCCUGCGUAUGAUUAGCUUGUUGGUGAGGUAAUGGCUCACCAAGGCGACGAUCAUUAGC
rnacentral:rRNA from 1 species